CAAGUACUCUCUCCGUUCCGAAUUACUUGUCGCGGGUAUGGAUGUAUCUAGAUGUAUUUUAGUUCUAGAUACAUCCAUUUCUGCGACGAGUAAUUUGGAACGAAGGGAGUAACAA
rnacentral:pre_miRNA from 1 species